rnacentral:rRNA from 1 species
AAGCUCUUUCGCAAUGGGAAGAAAACUUACAUUCUAGUAACGUGUGAGGCUGACGGUACCUUGAUAAGAAGCACCGGCUAACUACGUGCCAGCAGCCGCGGUAAUACGUAGGGUGCGAGCGUUAAUCGGAAUUACUGGGCGUAAAGCGUGCGCAGGCGGUUUUGUAAGUCAGAUGUGAAAUCCCCGAGCUCAACUUGGGAACUGCGUUUGAAACUACAAGACUAGAAUAUGUCAGAGGGGGGUAGAAUUCCACGUGUAGCAGUGAAAUGCGUAGAGAUGUGGAGGAAUACCAAUGGCGAAGGCAGCCCCCUGGGAUAAUAUUGACGCUCAUGCACGAAAGCGUGGGGAGCAAACAGGAUUAGAUACCCUGGUAGUCCACGCCCUAAACGAUGUCUACUAGUUGUUGGUGGAGUAAAAUCCAUGAGUAACGCAGCUAACGCGUGAAGUAAACCGCCUGGGGAGUACGGUCGUCAAGAUUAAAACUCAAAGGAAUUGACGG